rnacentral:rRNA from 1 species
UACGUAGGUGGCAAGCGUUGUCCGGAUUUACUGGGCGUAAAGGGAGCGUAGGCGGAUGUUUAAGUGGGAUGUGAAAUACCCGGGCUCAACUUGGGUGCUGCAUUCCAAACUGGAUAUCUAGAGUGCAGGAGAGGAAAGUGGAAUUCCUAGUGUAGCGGUGAAAUGCGUAGAGAUUAGGAAGAACACCAGUGGCGAAGGCGACUUUCUGGACUGUAACUGACGCUGAGGCUCGAAAGCGUGGGGAGCAAAC